ACACGAACAUGCCUACGUGCUAAUGCAAGUUCCUUAUCAUCUAACUCCGGAAAUGCACAGGCAGCUUGCACAAACAACAGUUUAUUUUUUUUUGUUAUUAAAAAAAAUCACUUCGUAACCAUUGGGGAAAAGAAAAGAAAAAAGGGAACUAAGAUAUGUGAACUGGUUGAACUUUAAUUGCACUGUACAGUUUGGAUAGUCACAAAGGAUCCCAUUGACAGAACAGCGACAACAGACUGUGGUCGGCUAAUGCUGGCCUCCCAAAGGAAAAAUUGAAAAGGAGAGGAGAAAGUGCAUUUGGUUAUGUCCCCAGAUUGUGGAACUCUUUGUCCUUUUCUAUUAGAGACGCUGCUUCGGUCAAUCUUUAGCCUGUCCUUUGACCCUGUCCUUUGACCCUGUGAACAUCUGCAUGUGGCUGACAACAGUAGUCAGCACAGAAACGAGCGUUCCCCCAGAGUCACUUGCGACACUUUGGACAAACUCACAUUGAUGUCCAACUGGAUGAGCAGAAAUAUAGGGGUACAAUAAAUCACAACGAGCAAGCAAGAAAAAAUAAUUGUGAGGUUCUUAAACGCUUGGUUGAUUCUGUUUACCUUGGCAAGCAAGAACUGGCAUUCAGAGGGCAGGAUGAAGGCACCAAUUCCUCAAACAGAGUGCUCAAAAGAAGACCAGUGAUGUAGUGGAGCCAGAACACCCUGUAAUGCCCUAGAACGUGUCGGAACGCCCUAGAACGUGCCGGAACACCCCGGAACGCCCUGCAAUGCCCUAGAAUGUGCCAGAAUGCCCUGCAAUGCACUAGAACAUGCCGGAACCCCCUAGAACGCCCCGGAACACGCCAGAAUGCCGUUCCAGUACUAUUUGCAAUGGUGUAAUCGAGCCGGAACACGCUUUAUAGGCACGCCGAGUCACAUGACUCACAUUUCCCGCACAACUGUCUGAUUCAGUCAGUAGUCCUCUUGAUGCAAUGAAAACAGCGUUAGGAACUUCUAUUACAAACAACUUCUUUAAGGCUAAAAACACUGACAAAGACAACAGCAUCGACAACGACUGUGUGAAGUAAUUAGAUAAAUGCAUUACCUAUUGUAUGUGUUACUAGAAGUUCAGUGUACAAUUAAAAUGCAAAUUUGUAUAGUAAUAAUUGUUGAAGAAAGACAACAUUGUAGUGAUGUUCCAGUACUUUCAGAUUUAAGACUACAACACUGAAGAAGGCAUUCUUAUACAAUAGCUGUGAUUUGACCAUGGUUACAAAAAGGUAAACGGCAGGGGUUUAGAUUUAAAAUUCAGUGACACUCCAUAUGUUGCUGGUUGACCAUGGAAAUAUGUUCAGAUUGGGAGUUAGGCCUUGGCUGAAGUUCAGUGCUUCACGCAGACCUCAAGGACACACAUCUGAGAGUACAUUCCAAAGGAAUGAAAUCAGAGCUGGCUUCGCAGACCACUCUAACUCCCUGCUUCUCUCUCCACUAACCAGAGGGGAGGGAAGGGUCAUAGUGCUUCAUAUUUGUUUAUUGGCAGGGUUUGUACUUGAACAGCCAAUUUCUAUUUUAAGUAAACUCAACCCCAUGUAUGAUUAUAUCCUGAUCUAAUAUCCUGAUCAUAUUCACAAAGCCUCAACUCAUGAGCUAUUUUUAAGUCAAAUUAAAAUGUGAUAUUCAUGUUAUGUACAGCUCUGGCCAAAAGUUUUGCAUCACCUAGAAUUUUAGGAU